GCAGAGGCCUGGCCUCCAGGUCUUUGUUGUGGAUGUUUUUGCCUCCCUAUCCCCAGGGGAAGGGGGAGGGAGAUGGGAAGGGGACACCAAGGAAGCCUGUGGUGCCUAAUGAGGUCUGUAGCAGUAUCCUGAGGUGUUAAUUAGAUUCCACAUAUGGGUGAGAUUGUGUGAUACUUGUCUUUCUCUGACUGGCUUAUUUUGCUUAGCAUAAUACUCUCCAGGUCCCUCCAUGCUGUCUCAAAGUCAAGUCUUUUAAUAUAUAGGUUCUCUGUCUCUCUUAGUUUUUCUUUUAUUUAUUGAAGAAGCCUGGCUAUUUAAUUUGUAGAUUUUCCCUCCAUCUCAAUUUUGCUGAUUACAUCCCUGCUGUCUAGUUUAAUAGGUUCCCCUGUCCCUUGUGUUUCCUGUAAAUUUGUGGUUAGAUACAGAGGCUUGAUUAUAUUUAAUUAAAAAAAAUUUUUUUAAUGUAGCAUUUUUUAACAUGAAUCAAGGAAAGCGCCUCUUUUUUAAAAAAUAUUUUUUUAAAAUUUUUAUUGAUUUCAGAUAGGAAGGGAAAGGGAGAGAUAGAAACAUCAAUGAUGAGAGUGAUUCAUUGAUUGGCUGCAGCCCGGGCAAGUGCCUUUGACUGGAAUCAAACCAGAGACCCGUCAUUGUGCACGCAGUCGCUCUGGCCACUGAGCCAAACCGAGCAGGGCAAUAUAUUUGAUUUUAAAAAGAAUAUUUAAGAAGUAAUAUUUGUACUUUCAUUGGGAGGCACACAGUACCUAGUUGUUUCUCUUUUUGUGACAUAAGGAAUCAUUGAUAUUUAUCACCUAGAAUAAUUAUUUCAGUAGGGCUUGCAAAAUGGUGAUAUUUUGUGUUUCCUUCUGCAAUUGCCAUUUUGAAUAUUUUUAUACCUGGAAACUUCCAGUAAUCAGCUACGUGGUUACUCUGAAAGUCAGUCUAGUUAGGAGAGGCAGGAUAAAUGCUUGAUUGUUUCUCAUAUUUACCAGCUUUCAAAAUAAUGAGUUGGUUUUCUAACAUUCUCCAAAGAUGACUUACGAGGUUUAUUUGUUCUCCUUUUUGUUUUAGUAUCAUAGCACAGUAUGGAUGUUAAUAUGUUUGUUGUGGUGUUCAAAUUGUCCCUUGCCAGUGGGAACUUAUUCAGUAGCCUGCCAAGUCUUUUGGACACAACCUUGUAGACCAAGCAUGUCCAACUUGUGGCCUGCCAGCUGCGAGUUUGACAUGCUUGUUGUACACUUUGAGGGUUUCCCUAUUUCUGGAUGACAAUAGGUUCUAAUCUUAUUUUGUACAUUUCCUGAACCAGACCUAGAGUCAUCCUUUCUCUUAGGGGACCUGGCUCUUUUUAUUGAAAACUCAUAUGUAGAGACCAUAAUCUGAGUCCACAGGAUUCUCACUGCUACUGGGUUGGUCAUUAUUUCUAGGAUUUUUCUAUGGAUUAGCUCUUUUAUUACUCAGAAAUGUGGAAAUACAGAAAAGCAUAUAGCUUGCUGGAUUAUGCAGCCACAACUCAGGUGAUGGUUCCAGAUGCCACCUUCCAAAUUUGGAGUGGAGGCACACUGCCUGACACUUGGGCCAGUUGGGACAUCUCCUUCCUGUUCUAAAGAAACAUGAUUAACAGUCAGGAAGGGGAGAGCCCGUGAGUUAGGCAGUUGGGGAGCUUUGUUAAGAGCUCCCACGUGUGGUAUGCUGGCUAUCUUUCAGAACACUUUAUCCCUCUCUGUCCCAGUCAUUUGUUUUCUAUUCAUUGCACCACCUCCUUCUGCAUUUCAACAUUAUUUCACAAGAGAGAGUCUCAUACGGGAAGAAGAAAGCGAGACUCCAAGCUGGGCUUGCCCAGUCACCAGUCACAUGAAACUGCAGAUGCAAAUGUGGUUGGUGUCUUCCAGGAGUGGCAAGUCACUCAGUACUAAUUAUGGUGUGACUGGAAAGUUAGACAGAGAUCAGCUCUGGGAGGGUUGCAAAAGCUGUAGGAAGUGCUUUUCCCUGAGCGCAGCUGAUGGGAGGGCAAAACCGUGGGACUUGGACUUGAGAAUGUAUUUGUAGUUUUAAAAGCAGAUUGGAGAGAGUCUUCUGAUCAAGGUGGCAGAUGCAGGAGAGGAACAUGACAUUCUUUUCACUCUGAGCAGAAAGUCCUGGCAAUAAACAUCUGGAAACUUGUCUACUGAAAAAAGAAAAGUGAUACAUAAAUGCAUAUGUACAGAAGCCUAUUUCAAAAGAAAAUCAAACUUGCUAGUAAAAUGUUUGUGGUUUCAUUAAGAGCUGAUAAUGCAUAUAAACUUUAGAUGAUUUUGUGGUUUGUUUCUGUGUAAUACGGGAAGUUGUUGGUCAUUGAAUUCAUUGAAUUAGUCAAAAUACUUCCCCAAAGAUUUAAUUUUAAAUCACUUCUGAUAGAGUAAUUUUAUUUUUAUGUGAUAUGGCUUCAUGUUCAUAUUUUAUGUUAUAUGUUUUUUUCUUUUCUAAAAAAUGUAUAUUUUUUCUGCAGUGGUCCAUAUAUCUGUUUUCCUUAUAAUAUGUGGUUAUCUAAGUUAAUAUUUAUGUACACCAUACUUAAUUUGUAAGUUUAAAGCAAAUCUGGAAAAAAUUAAAUAACUUAAAAAAAAGAAAAAGAAAAGACAAGUGAAUUGGAGGAAAGGGCCACAUUGGAGGUGGGGAGAACAUUUUGCAGAGUCUUACAGUAAUCUAGGCCGGAGAUGAUGGCAGUCUGUUCUCAGGCAUUGGCAGGGAGCACUGUGGGGAAACUUUAGGAAGAGGAAUUGAUAGGACUGGAGGGUUAGAUAAGGAGGCUGAGGAAGAAUGAGUCAAGGCUGAUAUCCUCAUCUCUGGCUUAGACAGUUGUGUAGGUGGCAGAGUGAAAUUUGGUGGAAUGUAGAAGGAACAGGUUGGAGAAGGAGAGAAUGGGAUUGAUGGAUCUGUGUUUGAGUGGAGCUGUGGAGGCUUGGGAGACAGCUUGGGGAACCAAGGUAGAAGUGUGGCCAUUGACCCCAAGAGAGUAUAGAGUCAGAAGAGUAGAGGCCCAAGAUGAGACCCUCCCCCAGGAAUGGCUUCAAUUAAGCACGGAUGGGGAAAUGACAGUCCUGCCGGAAGGCCAGAGGCAGCCCCUGAGGGGCGGGUAGCCACCAGAGAGGACCUGAACAAGAAGGCCAGGCAGCCUUCCAUUUGGUUUUGCCAUUCAGAGGUCAUUGGCAACCUUAAUGAGAAUAGCGGAGAGAGAGGCUAAAGCUGACGACAGUGCAUGGAGUGGAUGGGCAAGAGACAGUGUAUACACAGAGCAGAAAUCACUGAUGAGCUCAGCUCAGCCACUGACUGGCUUUGUGACCUUGGGCAAGUCAUUUAUCCUCAGCUGUACAACGGGAAAGUUAAUGAGAGCUCUAUGAGAUAUUGGUGAAGUGUAACCAUGGGGCCUGGGGCAGAGUGAGCAGUCAGGGAAGCCAGCUGCUCCCACCAUGGAGGUUCCCUCCUGUCACACCUCGGAAGCAGGCGCCAUGAUGGGCCUGGAGUGGGUAAUGCAAACAUGUCACACAGGCCUUACUUGGGGGCAGGUGUGCCUGUGUAAUGGGCAGACUGAUGGACAUCAAACAGCAUUGAUGCCCAGCGGGUGUGGCUCAGUGGUUGAGCAUUGACCCAUGAACUAGGAGACUAUGGUUUGAUUCCUGGUCAGAGCACAUGCCCAGGUUGUGGGCUCCAUCCCCCAUUGCGGGUGUGCAGGAGGCAGCCAAUCGAUGAUUCUCGCUCGUCAUUGAUGUUUCUCUCUCUCCCUCUUCUUUCCUUUCUCUGAAAAUACAUAGAAACAUUUUAAAAAGCAGCAUUGAGCCCUAGCCAGUUUUCUCAGUGAAUAGGGCUCAAUGAAGGGUCCUGGGUUUGAUUCUGGUCAAGGGCACGUAUCUCAGUUGCAGGCUCGAUCGAUCACAGGUGCAGGUGGCAACCAAUCGGUGUGUCUCUCUCACAUCGAUGUUCCUCUCAUCUGUCUUUCCCCUCCCUUCCACUCUCUCUAGAAGUCAAUGGAAAAAUAUCCUUGGGUGAAGAUUAACAACAACAACAAAAACAGCAUUGAUGUACAGUAGGUGCAGGGUACAUUUUGGGGCAAUGGGAGCAUUUGAAGAGUGACAGAGGGUAUAUGGUUUCUUUUUGAGGUGAUGAAAUGUUCUAAAAUUGCUUGUGGUGAUGGUUGCACAGCUAUAUAAACAUCCUAAAACCAUUGAAUUGUACACUUAAAUGGGCGAAUUGUAUGGUAUAUGAAUUAUAUCUCAGUAAAACUGUUCCAAAAAAAAAAAAUUAGGCCAAGGAGGCGAGAAGAAGGAAUGGUAUUAGUGCUCUCAGAAAUGUGAAACUGCAUGGAGUGUCAGCGGAGCUUGAGAAAGUGGGAAGAGAGAGUAGAGCACGUGUCAGGGAUGUGCAGGGCUGAGGGAGGAUAGGUACCUCGGCCGCUGCAUGGAAGGGCUUGGGUAUUGGAAGGACAUGCAGCUCAGGAGGGAUGAGGUUAUGAUGUAAAAAAGAGAGAGAGGCCAGAACCGGUUUGGCUCAGUGGAUAGAGCGUCGGCCUGCGGACUCAAGGGUCCCGGGUUCGAUUCCGGUCAAGGGCAUGUACCUUGGUUGUGGGCACAUCCCCGGUGGGGGGCAUGCAGGAGGCAGCUGAUCGAUGUUUCUCUCUCAUUGAUGUUUCUGGCUCUCUAUCGCUCUCCCUUCCUCUCUGUAAAAAAUCAAUAAAAUAUAUUUUAAAAAAAAAAAAAGAGAGAGAGACACACAUAUUCUUCAGUUAGGUGAAAGGUAAUGUGUGGGAAAUGUUGCCUAAGGUUUUCUGUUUAUGUUCUUGUCUGGAAACAUUUUAUGUUCUGUUCUGCUUGUCAAAGGAGAUUAUAUUGAAUUAGUGAGUUUAGAUGACUAUAGCUGGGACAGAACACUAGUUUAGCUCAAUCCAAACUCCCUCAGAGUCAGAUCUGGUCCAAAGCAAGAGAUAACACAGUCCUGACCAUCCAGUGAUCACAGCAAGAGGAAAGAGUUUAGGGCACAUGGGGGGGAAGGGUGUGUCAAAGGCGAUAACUAGAACGAAGGGAACAAGUGUGUUGAGUCUCUGAGCCAUGACACCCUCGGCUCCACACAUAUCUGAAGUUUUCCCAUCAGUAUUUAAGGAUAUGUUGUCCCCUCAGCCCUGGGCAGUGGUAUCACUGCAUGAAGAGACCCCUGAUGCCCCAUGAUCGGACCUGGCAUGGAUCAUCGGUGGUGACCAUACAGCAUUCUGCCUUGUUUGUUCCUCUCCAGCCCCAAAGCAGGGAGGAGGCUAGGGAUAGGCAGGAGGGAGGUCUUGCUGCCAUGAGCCAGCUUGGGCUUGGUCCUUCUGUGGAUGGAGAAGGGAGGAUUUGGGGGUGUGAUGCAACUAGAAAUUUGGUCUGGGGCUCGGGAGGAUGGACUUAGAAGGAGGCAGGCUGGAGGCAGGCAGCUAUUCCAGCUCUCCAGGUGAGAGGACGUGGGCUGAGCUGGGGCAGGCGUGGCAUGCGGGGAGAUGAAGCACUGGGUCACAGACCAGCUUGGGGGAUGAAGCACACAGGAUUGGGCCAGUUUUGAUUAGAUAUGAGGGUGUGAGAGGUUAGAAGUCAGGCUUCUGACUCAUCGGUGACUGGAGCUGUUUCUGAGAUGGGGACCACCAGGAGAGGAGUAGGUCUGGGACAUGGACGAAGUGGUGGAGGAGGAGGUGUUCUGUCUCAGAUGUGCUGAUUGGGAGUGUAUGAGGGAGGUGGCUGUGUGGGCCUGGAGCUUAGGGGAAGUAGCUCUCAAGAUACCAAUCUGGAAAUCAUCAGCACGCUGGCUGGCGGCAGUUCAGCCCACGCCUGGCCAUCUGUUGGCUUGCAGUCAGGGCAGGCCUCUCUUAGAAGCUAGUCCUGCCAGAGGCUGGAGAGCAGGCUCCAUUGUGGGCCAAGUGAACACAAGUGGACACAACCGUGCCUGAUGAGGACACCUGGCAUGGAGCUCAAUUUGGCAAGUGGAGCCAGGAGAGCAACAGCCAGGGAUUCCCCCUCCCGAUGCCUGCUGUGCCGCCUCCUGCAUGACUGGCCAUGGUGAUUUUUGUUUUCUUUUUAACUAAAUAUAUAUGUCUUUAAUUUCUGAAAGUUAAGUUGGUGGAAUGGUGACUCAGUGUGGAUUCUUUGGGGGACAAAUUUUCACUACCUUAUUAACAUUGAUAUAUAUAUAGGUGUCCCCCAAAAAAGGUGUACACACUUUAACAGCUGAUAGCCCAAUUUUGAAAAUUAUUUUAAUAAACACUGCCUUCUAUAAUUAUUCACAUUGUGUGGAUACAUUUUUGGGGGCACACUGUUACUUUAUAGCCUCACUUACAAAUUAUAUCCCCUAGAUUAGCACCAGAUGGCAUGUAUAAAGGUGUUCACGCCAGCCUUGUAGUAGGUAUCAGUAACCUGUUAGAACCAAUGGAAUACCCAUCGACAGGGGUGUGUUAAAUAAACCAUCAUCUAUGCUUACAAGUACUCAAAGUCUGAGCUCCAUAAGUAACCAAUUUAGGAAUACAUUGUUAGGUGAGAAGUUGCAAAGCAUUUUUAAAAAUAUAUUUUUAUUGACUUCAGAGAGGAAGGGAGAGGGAGAGAGAUAGAAACAUCAGUUAUGAGAGAGAAUCAUUGCUCGUCUGCCUCCUGCACUCCCCUCACUGGGGAUUGAGCCUACAACCCAGGCACGUGCCCUUGACUGGAAUUGAACCUGGGACCCUUCAGUCUGCAGGCCGAUGCUCUCUCCACUGAGCCAAACCAGCCAGGGCGCAAAGCAUUAUUAUAAUAUUUUCCCAUUUUAGUAGAAUACUAGGUGGAUGUACAUGGGAGAGCAUUGGAAGCAUAGAUACCAAGUUGCCUAGAGUGGCAGCCUCUGGGAAGAAGGACGGGAAGGCUGGAGGGGAACAUUUCAGUUUCUGCUUUCUGUACCCUUCCAUUGUUUGGAUGAGGAUUUGACUUCGAAUUACAUUCAGAGCUGACUUAGAAAACCUUCUCUUGACACUUGAUGGUGCCUGAGGGCCCAGGCCAGGGCUGGACCUUCACAUCACCCAGGCCAGAGCCACAGGGCCCCUAUUCAGGUACAGCUCCCCUGCUCACCUCUCACCUGGCCAUUUUUCUCUUUCCUUUGUCUCCUCCUCCCAGCCCCACCUCUUGCAUUCCCUUUGCAAGAUUACAUCUUGCACUAGUGUAUAAUUUAGUUGAUGUUAUCUGGGAAGCUUUUUAUGGUCAAGACAGUAACAGUCCACAUGGGAACUGAUAACCCCCAUUUCACCCAGGAGGCUGUGUCAGAACUUGCUUGGGUGGGUGGUGACAUGCCUUUUCAGUGAUUUCUUGGGCCUGGUUUCUGAGAUGGAGCCAGUGUCUGAACUCCUGCCUAGGGCUUUAUUUUGUGUUGUUAAUCCUCACCCGAGGAUAUUUUUUCCAUUGACUUUUAGAGAGAGUGGAAGGGAGGGGGAGAGUUAGGGAGAAACAUCCUUGUGAGAGAGACACAUCUAUUGGUUGGGAGGGGUGGUGGGAGGAUUGAGCCUGCAAUUUAGGCUCAGUGGAAUCAAGGAAUUUAGGUCCUUGACUGGAAUCGAACCUGGGGCCCUUCAGUCCAUAGACCAAUGCUCCGCCCACUGAUCCAAACCAGCUAGGGUACCUAGGGCCUUUGGAAUAGGCCUCAGCAUAGGCAAAUGUCAGCCAUCAGGGCUUUUGAAGAUAAUAAGACUUUCUGGAUAAAUCAGGGUUUCUGGAUGGAAGAGAAGGAAAGGCCCCAACAUUUUAUUUUAUUUUAUUUUAUUAUUAUUGUUUUUUAAAUGAGAUUAAUUUUGUGUGACUUUUUAUUGUUUUGUUUUUGUUUUAAUCCUUACCCAAGGAUAUUUUUCCAUUGAUUUUCAGAGAGAGUGGAAGAGAGAGGGAAAGACAGAGAGAAGUAUCGAUGUGAGAGAAAUACAUCAACUGGUUGCCUCCUGCACAUGUACGGACCAGGGCCUUGGCCAGGGAGGAGCCUGCAACCGAGGUACAUGCCCUUGACCGGAAUCGAACCCGGGACCCUUUGGUCUACAGGCUGACGCUCUAUCCACUGAGCCAUACCGGCUAGGACUUUGUUUUACUUUUUAAAGGGGCAUUUUAUAUAUUUUAUUGAUUUCAGAGGGGAAGGGAGAGGGAGAGAGAGAAACAUCAAUGAUGAGAGAGAAUCAUUGAUAGCUGCCUCCUGCACGUCCCCUACUGGGGAUCAAGCCCGAAACCUGGGCAUGUGUCCUUGACCAGAAUUGAACCCGGGACCCUUCAGUUUGCAGGCCAACGCUCUAUCCACUGAGCCAAACCAACUAGGGCCCAACACUUUAUUUUAAACAUUCUGCAUAAAACACUUCUAGGAUGUAUUACUUUUCUUUUCUCUUUUCUUAGCAGCACACACUAAACAUAACGGAGCUGUUUCCCAUGAGGGCUGUUAGACUUGCAACGAGAUGGAACAGAACUGUCCCUGAGGGCCCAGUUCUGCUUCCAAUAGUUUUGUACCUGGGCCCCCUGUCAGGCUACCCCCUCAUCCUUCCCGCCGUGGUCAGAGUGCCUGAUACAGCACCCAGACCCCUUUUCUAACUUGUGGCUGUUCUUGUGCUCUGAGCUCUGCUGCCACACACAUUCUAGUUUGUUAGGAGGGUCUACAUCAAAAAUGAACGUGAUGUAAUUGUCUCUCUUGUGAAUCAUCGGUGCCUGCUCAGGGCCCUAGGGCCUCUCCGAGUUGCCUUUCUUGGGUUCUGUGUGAGGCCAAGCAUCAGGCAGACCAUGCUCCCUUUCUGGCCAGCUGCCUGAUGCUAAGCAUGUGGUUUAAGCCGUGGAGCUUAUUUGCUCCCCUGUAAAAUGAAACAAAUUAUUUGCAGGUUGUUAGGAUUCAGCAGCACAGUGCCUAGUGAGUGCUCAAUAGGUAUUUGUAUGAUUGGAUGAGUGACAGUGCUUUAUUGGUAUUGGCAGGGGACUAGGCUUUGAGGUGCAGAGGAGAAGCUGAGAUCCCCAUUUUAGAGGGGUGUGCCAUGUCCUCGGUUGUCCUGUUUCUGGGUGAUUAAACUGUGUGUGUGUGUAUUUAUUAUCCUCACCUGAGGUCAUGCUUAAAGAGAGGAAGAGAGAGAGAGAGAGAGAGGGAGGGAGAGAGAGAGAGAUAUCAGUGGUGCUUCCCAACUGGGGAGCAAAACCUGCACUCCAGGCAUGUACCCUGACCGAGAAUCAAACCAGCAACCUUUUGGUGCGCUGGGUGAUGCUCAACCAACUGAGCCACUCUGGCCAGGCAGCACUUGAUUUUUAAAAAAAAUAUAUUUUAUUGGUUUUUUACAGAGAGGAAGGGAGAGGGACAGAGAGUUAGAAACAUCAAUGAAAGGGAAACAUCGAUCAGCUGCCUCCUGCACACUCCCUACUGGGUAUGUGCCCGCAAGCAAGGUACAUGCCCUUGACCGGAAUCAAACCUGGGACCCUUGAGUCCGCAGGCCGAAGCUCUAUCCCAGGGGUGGGCAAACUUUUUGACUCGAGGGCCACAAUGGGUUCUUAAACUGGACCGGAGGGCCGGAACAAAAGCAUGGAUGGAGUGUUUGUGUGAACUAAUAUAAAUUCCAAGUAAACAUCAUUACAUAAAAGGGUACGGUCUUUUUUUUUUUUUUUUAGUUUUAUUCAUUUCAAACGGGCCGGAUACGGCCCGCGGGCCGUAGUUUGCCCACGGCUGAGCUAGAUAAAGGGACUUGGAAACUUGGGAGGGUCUGGCCAAGCUGGAGAACAAGAGUGUAGAGGGCUGAGGAGACGCAAGCUUCCUCUUCAUCCUCUUCACUCUUGUGCCCCAGAAGCCUCUGUCUCCACCAGUGCAAGGCAGACCAAUCCCUCCUGACCAGACUCAAGCCCACCUCAUCUCCAUUUUGGCUUUCCCAGACUCAUGUCCACCUCGGGCCUGUUCCCUCUUUAUGUCACAUUCCUACUUGGCUGUGUGGCUGCCUGCAGUCUACUCCCUCGGGGAUCGUUGUCUGCGGGAGAUGCAGACCAGGAGGCGGAGGCAGUGAUUCAAUUGGAGAGGUGUGUUGAGAGGGAGCUAGAGUUAGAGGGUGACAGUGCCAUCCUCCAUUUGGCCACAAGAUGGUGCACCAGGACCGCUCAGCUGCCGGAGAGCUGGGUUAGGGGUUGUGGCUGGAACAACCAAGCUGUGCGGCAGCCAAGCUAGGUCUCCUCGGCUUUUCUGGACAGCACCUGCCUGUGGUCGUUGUCCCCCAGGUCUCUUCCCUGAGCCCUACUUCCUUCACCCAAGUCCCAGUUGACCGUCUUAGAUUAAGCAGGGCUCGUGGCAUGGUGUCUUCCUGUCUGUCCAUCCCUUCUUAUCCUCAUCUCCCUGUGCUUCCUGGGUUGGGAAGGGGAAGGCCAGGGGACAGUUCCCUAGUGCGCUCUGCCUUGGUGUCCAGGGCAGCUGCUCCAGCCUUGACCUCAAGCUGUCCUCACUUCCCUCCACCUGGGUCAUGCUGGCAGCUCUCAGAGUCAGAGCAGCAGCUACAGCAGUGUGCUUGCCAGCCAUGAGCCAGGGGUGUGGGGGCACCAAGUAGGAGCUUGAGGCUGUCAGGAGGUCAGGGCUAUUCUUUCUAGGUUCCCAGCGGCACCACCCCACUCUGGUCCUCCCACUGUGGUCCCUCCAGGAGAGGGAAAAGCCAUCCUCAGGACAGACCCCCCAACCUCCUUCAGCGCUCUGGGGGACAUGUGGAAUGUAUGUGGCAGGUACAUGCGUAUAAGGUGACAUGGAAAGAGGUCCAAACCAGGUACCCCAAACUCUCUAUAGGUACUCUAGGUACACACAUCAUGUUACAAUGGGGCUGUUAUCAGGUGAAUGACAAUUCUCCUGCACCCCAACUUUGUGGGGGGGGUGCUUUCUAUUGGCCUCCUUGGCUCCUGCCUCAUUCAGCACCUACUGCUUGGAUGAUUUUUUUAGAAAAAAAAUCUAUGUACUGGAAUAUUGGCCUUCCUCCUCUGUUAGAGUAUGAAGAUCAAGGGCCUGAAGGGCCACUUAGUAGGCCAGGCUGCUAUUGCACAGCCUGGUGCCCACUCUGCCUGUCUGCACCCAGCACUCUGCAGCGUGAGGGGCGGGGCUGUGUGCACACAGGUGGUCCUGAGGAGUGGCAGGCAGGACUGUGGCAGGGGAAGGGGGUGUAUGGAGGAACAGCUCUGACUCGGUGUUGGGCACUGCUUUUCUGGUCCUUGGCAUUUGCCCAGACCUUGGCCACUCAGGCAAUGGUUUCCAGGCCUUGACCUCAGCUGAGGCUUCGUGUUUGGUUGGCGGAUGGGGCUUUCCCCUCUGAGGAGUCAUCUGUGGUGUCCUCGCUGCUGCUCUUUUCUGCGGGCCCUGCUCUGGUGGCUGCUAGAGGCUCCCCAGCCCCGGGCCUCUCCUGCACCUGCUGGCAGUCCUGCCAGGGCUGCCCCAUUGGUACCCAGGCCUCUGGGCUCAUCUCGAGCUCCUGAGUUACCCUCAGGGGCUGGGGUUGCAGAGAGUCAGUGUGAUCCGGGCCUGACGAGGUAAAGAUCAGAGCUGGCCACGCCCCUGGAGGUAACCUUACUCAACCCUCUUAUUUUACCUGGGAAACUGGGUCCAGGUGAGGCCCAUGGGCUUGCCUAUGAUCUCCUGAUCUCCUGACACCGUCUUGGCUCCUCCUGUGCAAUCCCUACAUUCUCGGAUGCAAUCCUUCAUUUGUUCACUGAAGGAUUAGGCCUCUGUGUGCUCGGCCCCCAACUCCGCGCAGUCAGAGAGGCCCUGCUUCUGGGGCCCUUGUAGUUACUACCCCAGGCCUUGCCACAUGGUGUCUAGCUUGGAGAUUAAAGGGUUGGGAGACGGGGAAUAUGGGUGAGCCACAGCCUGUGACCUGGCACAUAGGGCCCUAAGUCCAGAAAAUGGGGUUGUGGCUUCCCCAUUUCCCCUGAUCCUCAAACCUUUAAGCCCAGGGGAACUGAGGGUUCUGGAGGUAAUCUUUCAGGCCUGGCCCAGGCUCCAUGUCAUUGCCAUUCCUCCACUGCUUACAUCAUUCAGACCUAGCUGCUUCUAUGAGGCAGCCUGAGCAGGCGACCACCCCUCUCCCAGGGGCUGGCCUGGGUCCACAGUGCUGACCACACUUAAUUGAGGGGUCUGGGGUCCUAUACAGGACCAGCUUGGAUGCCUACUGCUCCUGCCACUUCCUGCCUGGCUCAAGCCUCCUGGCUCUGCUGGGCACAGGUAUGGAAUGGAUCAGCUCUGCUCCUGGCCUGGGCUGCACACACCAGUUUCUGUGAGCGGCAGGGGAUGAGGCUUCGUUCUGAGAGCAGCAUGGCUCGCAGCCCCAGAUGAGGCUCGAUCCUAUAAGCCCAUCCUUGAGGCCUAAGUCUAAACAAAAUGAAUAUUUCCAUGGCUUUGGUUCUAGGCACUGUGGAGCUGGCAGGAUGCUCCAGCCAGGACCCAGCCUGACCUGGCUUCAUCUCACUGUGAGCAGCCUCUGGGAGCCAUAAAACUGCCCUGCCCCCAUGCAAGGGAGCUGCCGCUUUCUUUAGUGUCUUUCCUUAGCGUAGAACAGAAGCCCAGCAUCCAGGGCUGGCAGGGCUGCUCAGGCGCUGAGGGCCAGCAGACCCAGGAGCCACCCAUGGCAUGGGCCAGCUUUUCAGCAAGCUCAUUGCCACCGCUGGCCUUCCCUGGGCGGCCUGGCACCUGGCCACUCCGGACCACUUUACCUCUCUCCCUCCCACUCAGGCCAACUUCCAUCUUCGGGGAAAUGACAAGAAGCUCUUCCUUGCAGCCCCAGAUUCACUGCAGCCUCCAGGUUCUAUAACUGCAGUGGCAGACCUGGAGAGGAAAGAGUUCACUCAAGGUCAAAGUACGUGGCAGCUGCAGAGGUGUGGCCCCUGCCUUCCAGGGUGAGGCUGGGUCUCCUGAUUCCCAGGCGGGGCUGUGGCAGAGCAACACAUAGGGAAGCUGCCCUUCCAGUCCUGUGUCCUGAGACACGUCCUGUGGAGCCAGGGUGGGGUGUCCCGGUGAGGGGCUAUUCGACGGUUCUCCGGAUCUCCGUGCAGGCAGAGAACUUCUUGGAACUUGCCCUGGGUGCAGCUGUAACCAGUUCUGCCCCUCCCUUUGGCACAUGGGACUGUUCCCUACCUGGCACCCUCCUGACUGUUGGAUAGGUUGACUUCCUCAUGGGAUAUGAGCGAUGCUUUCAUUCUUCCAGCCACAGGGACGAGGUGUUCUGGAGAGCAUGAGGGCAAUUAAAUGUGGCUCUGCUGUCACCUGCCACCUGUCUCAGAGCGGGGAGAAGGGUGGUGAACUGGGUCAGACAUCCUUCUGCCUCCUGGACAUGGGGAGUGACACUCCCAUUCAAUCCCUGUAUCCGAUAUGCUGCUGGUGGGUGGUGUCACUGGCCCCAGAUAUCAGCUGGGCCACCUCUGCAGAUCAGUCCCAUCCCCUUUUGCAAAUGCUUCACCUCAUUGAAAGGCCUCAGGCAUGAAAUAGAAUGCUGGUUCAGGGGCCGAGGAAGGAGAACUCCUGGCCUCUCGCUGCAGGAGCUCUGCCCUGCACCAGCUGAAACCCAGUAGCUUGCAUGCGGCUGUGCCAGCAGUAGACUCCAGGUUCUUCCCAAGACUGCUGGCCCGCCAGCCCGGGGGCUUCCCAUGGAGCAAAGGUUGCCCUUGGCUGUACCUCCUGCCUGCUCCUGUGGCCCCCAGGGCGGCCGCUCCAGGGGUAGCAGGUGGUGCAGAGUUAGGUCCUACCUCUGCCGAGUCCCUGGGGCUGCCCAUAGCUCUGUGUGAUCUUGCUGGUAGGUGAGGUGACAUGUGGGCUUGGGGACAGGAGUCCCAAAUUUCAAGCCAGCUCUGUUGCUCCUUUGCCAGGAGAGAGCAGAGUAGGGCCUAUGUGUUUGCAUGCCCAGGCUGCACGAGGCCCCCGCAGUCUUCAUGACAGGGAGGAGAACGUGCUUGAGCCUGUGGGGCAGAAAGGGACCACGGGAAGCAAGGGCAGAGGCAUUCUGUGGAGCCCUGAGUAGGACAGCCUGAGCAACAGCCUGCAGUCAAGCACCCAGCACCUGCCAGGGGCUGAGGGUUUUAGCUGGGAAGCUCUGGGUGGGAUCCUUUCUGCCCGGAGAGAUGGACUGUGGGAGGCUGGGCUCAGUCCUCUCUGUAGCACUGCCUCUGUUCAGGGUCUGUGGCGGGUGCCCUGGGAGGCGGGCACUAUAGGGACCUUCACUGGGUGACCAGCCUGUAGCCUGGGUUCAGAGAGAUUCCACAGGCUGCUCAGGGCCAAGCUGUGAGAUAGGAUUCAAACCCAGGAGACUGGCUCCAAAGCCCAGGUUUUCUCCCCUGCCCCACUGAGCCACCUAAGAAGUAAUAUCCUGAGACCAGUGAUCCAGCAAAACGGGGCUGCAGAGGAAGCCUGGUGCUGUAGCGACCAGCAGGGAUGACGGGUGGGCCCUGCACUGGCCAGGGCAAGAGGCCAUGGGCAUCUUAGCUGGAGGCAGGGGCAGUGCCAAAGCUCUGGACGGGGAAUGGCAGGCGGCACCCGAGAGAGGGUAAGAGGAACUGCAUUUGACAGGAAGAGUUGGAACUCGGUUAGUUGGUAUUGCAUGAGGUCUGCAGGGAGUCUGUGAUGUGCUCUGGCAGAGGCCUGGAGGCGAAGAGGAUGCUUAGUCUGUGCUUCAGGCCGCAGGUAAAGCCAGGGUUAAUGGUUUCCAUGCUGUGGCUCCCACACUGGGAGCUCCAGAUGUAGUGCUCUGACCCUGCAAGCCAGGCCACCAGUGUACACAUCUGCUUUGGAGCUGAUAUGAAGAAGAGGUCUCACCCACCCCCAGAGCCUGGGGAGGAGACUCAGGCACAGCACAUUCGUUGAGGGUGGGGGGGCCCUGGCUCCGUCGGGCCACCAGCCUGGCCAUCUGGUCACAUCUGUGCAUCUGUUUGAGUUUCCCUGCUUUGAGCCCCCAAAGUUGCAGCAUCAGAGAGUCUCAGGGGGCAGAGUGAGUAUUGGAGCCAGAGCCCAGGUCCGGUCCCUUCAAAGCAGACCCCUCACCUGGGCAGGGGAGAGGUAUAACCGGCCACAGUGCCCUGCGCCCUCACAGGGAGUGGCAGGAUGGGCACACUAGGUUCUAGGGAGCAUGUCUGCACAUCUGGUUUCACUCAGCGGGCCGCAAUUCCUGAAAACCCCUGAGCUCCCCAGGAGAGUGUUGCUGAGUGACCUCUGGAAAAGCAGAAGUGAAGUCUGGGAACACGCUGUCCUCUCACACUCUGCCGUGGCCAGCUGGCCAGCAGGGUCCCUCCGUGGGCCAUGAGGCCAUGGGUGAGUCUAGAGCAGGGGGCUGCCCCGCCUAGGAUACUGUGCCAGGGGUUGCCUCUAUGCCUGUUGGGUUCCUGGACUGCGUGGGGCCAAGACCCUCCCUUUCUGUCUUCCUGGGGCCCUUAGGAAGGGGCUGCAGAGGCAUGGGGGCUAGCGAGGCCACGUGCCUCCUGCCCUUGGGAGCUCUGGAGGGGCUGAAAGAUCACUUUCAGGGCUGGCAGGAUCUGGGAAAGCUUUCAAAAAGUGGAUGGAGAGCAGGGCUGCCCAGCUGCCACCUCUCAAGGCUUGGCUAGGGCUGGCUGCCAAGCCCACACUUGGUCCUGCAGAGAGUGCAGAUCAGGCUAGGGUUCCCCAGGCCCCCUCUUAAUCAAGGGCUGGAGUAGUAAUCAGAGGUGCCAGCUGGGGUCAGGGCUUUACCACUGGGGGGGUCCUGGACCAGAAGACCUGGGUUGAGGAGUAGACAGGAGGAGGCAGGACAGAUGGAAACUGCAGGGCCAGCUUGAAUCUGGUGUGGUCCUACCUAGGAGCCCUGGGAGGAAGAGCCACGCCAGUUGGUGUUGGGCUGCAGCCUGCCCAGGCACCUUCGGAGAGCUCAGCUGGGCCCUGCUGGAGCCGCAGCCAUGGUCUCUGACACAGGCAACCGCAGGGUGGACAGCAGUGCCCGUGGAAGAGGAGGGGCAGGCGCUCUCACUUUCCAGGCUGGGGGUGUGCCCUCCAGUUCGGCUGCUCUGGCUGGGCCUGAGGAAGCAGCCCUGUUUCCUGCACUUCAAGGGCUUCUUUCUAGGGCAUCAUCCUGUGGACUUCCCUGGAGCACUUGCUGGGGGCAGAGGUCACAGGCAGGCCCCCGUAGGUGGAGAAUAGCCCUGGUAGGGCCCAGGAGUCCAGGGCUGAGGCUGAAGCAGUGCUAGGACUGAGGGCAUGGGGCCUCAGGCUGUGGGGAGGUGGCAGGGCUCUAGCUCUGGGGUCACGGGGCUGCUGGGUAAAGGUGACUAACGCGUAUGAGGACUUCAACCUUAUAAUGGUGAAGAGAAUGGACUUGGGAGCAGGAGCCCAGCACAAGGGCCCUGUGGUGGUGGUGAGGUCGCCUGGGUUGCACCCGGAUCUGGAGUUGGGGGAACGUCACCAGAACGUCAGGACAGGCAGCACUGGGCAGUGGAAGAGGUGUGGGAAGGUCCUGGGCAGGGUGAGGAGUGCCGAGGAGCAGGCCCACGGCCCUCAGGCGAGGCCGGCGGCACUGGCUUGUGUUGUUUGGCUUCCUUUGUGGAGGGAUGUAGGUCAGAAUGCAGAGUGAACUUCUGAUAGCAGCAGCACCUUCUUGGGCAUGAGAAAUCGGCCUCUGAGGAAGCCUUUUACUGUGAGAUCCAAGCUGACCAGACAUUCUUGGUGCCAGGCCACGGAUGGGAGGGUUUGGGGUAGACAGCUGGGCAUGUGGGUAGACCGGUGCGGUACCCCGAGUCUGUGCUCACCAGCACACUGCGCAGCUUCAGCCCAGGCAUGUCUGGGGCUCUCUGGGGCCAUCCCUGGGGCUGUCAGGCUGCUGAGCUCAAGGCGCAGAGCAGAACUAGCCCCUGCCUUCCCAGAGCCCCUGGCGUCCUCGGCUGCCCUCGGGGGCUGGGCCAGGGCUGGGUGGCCAGGUCUCCCACGAAGCUCUCAACAAGUUCCAGGCCUCUCCUCCUGUGCUCAGAUCCCACCCCCCAGUCACACCCCCUCCUCCUCACGUCCCUCUGAGGGAGCAGGAAGCUGAGGGUGGGGGAUGGGGUGGGGAGGUUUCUAACGGGCCUUGUCCAGCCCUGAGGACUGUCCAAAGGGCUUGGGGCUGCCAGCCACGGCCCAGCCGCCAGCUUCUCGGAUAGGGUCAGAGCUGGUUCAGAAGCCCUGUGUGGGCCCAGCUGAGGGAUCCAAGUCGCCUUCCUGGCUGGCAGGCUGUCCCCUCUCCUUGGGUCACAGGGAGACACGAGGCUUGGCCAGGGAAAGUGGUCUGGAACGGCCCUUCGACAGUGUCCCUGGGGACUUUUAAAAAUGAGUUUCCUGGUAAGGAAGACUCUUAGGCCUUGGGCAGGAUUCUCGGUAGAGUCUCCCGGGUUUGCUCUGAUCUGACAAACGCCAGCAGAAACCACCCGGCUGUCUGCCUUCCAGCAGUGCUGGGAGCCGUGGCUUCCCCAGAUGCAGCGUCAGCAAAAUGAAGCAGCCAAGGCACAGGGGUUUGCUUUAAGGCCCGUGCUAAGCCUGGGGAGGGGCGGGAGGAGGGGGCAGCAAAGGACAGCCCACCCCUCGGCUUUACUCUCCAGGUUAAAUGCACACGUCCUUAGCUUCUCGAGGAAUGGCUGAUACAAGUGAUGCCAGAGAGGCUCGCCAAUGAGUCAUGACAGGCCAAGGCCUCUGUCAGGUGGACAGUGAGUGUCCAGGCUGCCUCUGAGGUCAUGGGGUGCCAUCCAGAGAUGCAGGUGGAGGCUCUGGCCUCUCUGCCACCUGCCAGCUUUUGUGGGACUAAAGUCUGUCUGGGCGGGUAGGUGCAUAUUUGGAAGGCCCAUCCUGGGCCAAGGGCUAUGGGAGAAUGUGGUCAAGGAUGCAAAGGGAGGAGAGGAGACCAGAGUUGGGAUGGACAGAAUCCAUGAGGCCUGAUCCACAUCUCAGCCCCUCUGUGUUUGUCUGUUGGACUCUGGUCAGUUUUCAGAUUCGCUCUGACUUCUGUUGUCUGAGUCGGUGAAAUGGGCAUGCCUGGGAGGCCCAGCACACACGUUGCUCCUGGCAGGGGCUAGGUACUCACCAGGGCCUCGUCUGUUUCCAGUUAAAGUGGGUGUUGCUUCCCCCUUAUGUUGGGGGUGCUGACUCCCACCUGGCCAGGGCCAGGUGUUGGAUGGAGUCAGUGGGGGUUGGAGAGGGGAGAGGGUGAUUGGCGGUGGGGGAGUUGUAGAGUAAGGGAAGGGGAGAGAAGUGGACAGGUUUGGGCCAGGCUUAGCUUCCAGCUACUGUCUGCUCAACAGCCUCCCCUAGUGGGGAUUUGAGCAUCUGCAUCUGCUGUACCCAGGCCAGAACACCCGCCCACUUUUCUUUCAAGUAUCACAAUACUUUUUGAGAGAUGAAAGUAUAUAAAA